rnacentral:piRNA from 1 species
ACAAUAGUGAUUCUGGUGAUGAAAAGG